rnacentral:rRNA from 1 species
UCUGGUGAUUAUAGAGAGAGGGCCACACCUGUUCCCAUCCCGAACACAGAAGUUAAGCCUUUCAUCGCUGAUGGUACUUGGGGGGCAGCCCCCUGGGAGAGUAAGUCGUCGCCGGAU